UGGAGCGAGCAUAGCACGCUAGCCCGCGCGUCCGCCAUUUUGAAAACGAAAAUAGACACUGAAUUCCCGCGUUAAAAAUUGAAAAGUAAAAACUUAAAAACAGAAUCGCGCGUUCGAAUAUUCAAAAGUGAUUUUUCUUAAAUAGUUUUUUAAUAACAGUUACUUUUGUUUUUGACUGUGUUUCUGUGAUUGUGGACCAUGAUUUUGAAUGGGUACAAAACGAUACAAGUCUUCUAAAAAAAGAAUUUUAAAACAAAAUCAGUUUAAAACUUCACUUAACGCAACACAGUGUCUUUAGAAGAUAGGCAGAAUAAAAAAAAAAACAUUUAUGCAAUUCCUUUAUGGAUAGUGAAAGGGAAAGAUAUUUAAACAUAAAUGGCUAGAGAGAGAUAGCGAUUAGUUACCUUGUUCUAGUUAGAAAGGGACAGUGAUAUAGCGAGUCUGGCUGAGGGAAAGAGAGACAAGAUGUCGUUGGUGGCACCUAGGAGAGUGCAACUUGACUGGACCCAUACUAUACCCUGGGAACAAGAGCCAGGGUGUGAACGCGACUCCUCGUUCAAGAGAGCCCCGCAUCAGUCCAACCGAUCAGAAUCGUCAUCAUCAUCAGCGGACACCGCGUCCCAGGGGUCUGGCUCGCCUGCGCCACAGCCACGACCCGGAAAUGAACCACAGAGGGAAGAGCGGCGGGAGCAAGCCGCUUGUGCUCCGAGGUUACAACCUAACCCGUUACUGAGGUCUCGUACCCUCCCCAACUUCGGCGGCAACCGUUCCCGCGAGGCGUCCCGCUGCGACACCAGCCGGCGAGCUCACCACAUCACCAUGGCAACCGAGGAUCUGCUGCAGCCCGGCCACGUGGUCAAGGAGAGGUGGAAGGUGGUCAAGAAGAUAGGCGGCGGCGGCUUUGGGGAGAUUUACGAAGGUCUAGACCUGGUGACCCAAGAGCAGGUGGCCUUGAAGGUGGAGUCCGCCAGGCAGCCCAAGCAGGUGCUCAAGAUGGAGGUGGCUGUCUUGAAGAAGCUGCAAGGCAAGGAGCACGUAUGCCGCUUCAUAGGCUGCGGUCGCAACGCCAGGUUCAACUACGUCGUGAUGCAGCUGCAAGGGAGAAACCUGGCGGAGCUGAGGCGCGCUCAGCCGAGAGGUGCCUUCUCCCUGUCCACCACGCUUAGGCUGGGCUUGCAAAUACUCAAAGCUAUAGACUCUAUACACUCCGUCGGCUUCCUACAUAGAGAUAUUAAACCUAGUAACUUCAGCAUAGGCCGGCAUCCGUCCAACUGCCGCAAGGUGUACAUGUUGGACUUUGGGCUGGCGCGCCAGUACACCACCAGCAACGGGCAGGUGCGCCCGCCGCGGGCCGCCGCCGGCUUCAGAGGCACCGUCCGCUACGCGUCGAUUAACGCGCAUAAGAACAAGGAGAUGGGCAGACACGACGACCUGUGGUCGCUGUUCUACAUGUUGGUGGAGUUCGUCAACGGCCAGCUGCCCUGGAGGAAGAUCAAGGAUAAAGAACAGGUCGGCCUAAUGAAGGAGAAGUACGACCACCGGCUGCUGCUGAAGCACUUGCCGUCGGAGCUGCGGCAGUUCCUGGAGCACGUGCAGCAGUUGGAGUACGCGGACACGCCUGACUACGCCAUGCUGGCCGCGCUCCUCGAGCGCUGCUGUAAGCGGCGCGGCAUCCGCGACCAGGACCCGCUCGACUGGGAGAAGGAUGCGGUGGCGGCCCCCCGCGCCCGCGCCGCCGUGCACGCGGCGCCCGAGCUGGCGCCGCCCACAGACACACAACCCGAUAAUACUCGCCGGCGUCUAGAAACAGAAGUGACCACAGCAGUCGCGACGGACACACAGACAAACCUGCAGAAGGACAAAGUUGACAAAAAACCUGCUUCACCCAGACACGCCACACAUCUCAACGGAUAUUCCACCACGGACAAGCCGACGACAGACAAAGAGGCAGAGCCGCGCACCACACCAGCUCCCUCGCCCGACAGACAUGCUAAGGAGACAAGUACGUCUGUGGUGACCGGAACGACGGCCACACGUCCGGAGCGACAGAGUGUCCCACCAUGCAAGCCGCGAGCACCGGCGCCAGGCGGCGGCCCCACGCUGGCGCGGCUGCGCGUGGUGACGGCGCCGCCCACGUGCGUGCAGGACCUGGCCGCGCACGCCGCGCCCGCGCCCGCAGGUGAAGCCGUGAGCCCGAGAAUAGUGGCCGAUGUGGACAGCGUGCAUUCUGAUACGCAUUUCAAACGUGGCGGCCGCCGCGGGCCGCGGGCGCCGCGCGCCGACCAGAGCUACACGCAGUUCGCCGUCAUGGACGAUGAGAACGUGUCCGCCCUGCAACAGGUGACGAAGGGCGGCGCUCUCACCCUGGUCUCGUUGUGGAAGUCCCAGUUCGACGACUCCGAGGAGACCACUGACAACGAAUGGAAACAGGAACAACUGCAGUCCCCCGAGCACCGCUGCCCCCGCGCCGUGUCGGCGGUGUCAUCGUCGUCGGCGGCGCCGCGCAGCCUUCUUGCCCACACGCACUCCACCACGCACCAGACGCAGAAACCAGCUGAUAAGCAGCCGCCGCCUCCCCAGCCAACAGAGCCGAAGCCGCCGCCCCCGAGCACCCAGCCGGCGGCCCCGCGGGCGCGGCCCGCCGAGCAACGCAAGCGCUCGUGCCUGCACAUCCCGGGGAUCGACGCUUACCCCAAGCUGCAGCCCAGCCUGCCUCGCUGCUGGACCCUGCCCGCCAUAGGGUCCCACAUCCGGUCGCUGCGGCCGCCGCUGCUGCAGCAGGCGUCGUUCGACGGCGCGGACGGGUCGGCGCUGCGCUACCUCGUGGACGUCAUGCGCGGCGUGGCGGCGAGGGACGCCGGCCCCGGCAGCGGCCCCGCCCGCGGGGCCCGCGCCUGCAGCGUGCCGAGUCUAUCCUGUUCAUCAACGAGCACCCCUCCCCGCGCGCCCGCCAAGCCGGAGCCGGAAGGGGCCACCGUGUCCAGCCGCCUGGAGAUCCGUGUCCGACCCCCGGACUCCGCUAGUCCGGGGACUGCGGGGAUAGACCUUGUCAAGAUCCAUUCGGUGGUGAGCGGUGGUGAGCCUGCCAGGAACCACGAUGAAGCUUCGAUAUACUAUGACGCAACUGAGCACCAGAGGGACAAACGGUCCUCUACACGUAGUAAUGAGAAAAGCCAGAGUCCGGCCGUGGAGCGCACGCGCCUCGAGUCUAUACCCGACAGGAGCAGUCCUGUGGUGAAGCGAGACCCGACAGGCGCCGGCGACGGGUCGCAGAGUCUCAGAGAUCGGUCGUCUGGUAGCGGCGCGACGUCCCGCAUCCCGGUGGCGACAUCUGGCGAGCAUCGCCUCGCCAAGUGCGCCUCCUGGAGUGGGGAUGGGCCUUUAUCCCCGGACGUGGCCGAUCUUACCCCGGCCCUCCGUCGGCGGCGGCAGAACGCAAACGAGAAGUACGCAGUAGACCCCGCUCGGGAAUUGAACCUGCGUUUCGCUAGACCACGGCACCGCACCCCGCAGCAACACCACUCUAGGAGCGGGUCCCGCGGCGUGCCGGCGCUGCUGAUGUCGUCCCCGCCGGCGUCGGGCGCGUCGGGGGGCUCCUCGUCGUCGGGCUCCCCUCCCCCCGCGCCGCCCCACGCCCCGCACCACCACAACGCCGCGAGGGCCCGCCGGUUCCGGCCGCUCUCCAUAGCGCCAUAGGAAGAAGCGGUAUUCUACGACGGUUCGGCAAAGUUCUGAUGUUAAAGUAAACAUGCAUAAUACUAUAUAGUCGAGUCGUUUCUACUCGAAAAUUGUUAACGUUAUAAUCUACAUAAGACAUGCUUUCCUUACGGAGUGGGCAGAGAAGGAGCACGCUAGUUAAUGGAGAGAAACAUAUAUUUAUAGUCACGUCUCUUUCCCUAGUAGUUCACCAUUCCCCUCGGCGGUUACCGCUAUCGACCCACUAGGCUUCCGAAUACAUCCCGCUCAGGGGCGGUACUGAAAAGUAUCUGCGUCCAAAGGACGUAAUAUACGAUCCUGAAACCCGAUUACUCUAGCCAUAGAGGCGGCCAAUCAGCUCGCGACACCAAACACUUCAGAACCCCGAUACCGACCGCGCCGGCGUGGUCGACGAUUUCCCUCAUUGAGCGCUUAUCGCUAUCGGCCCACUAGUCGAUUAAUUCUUUCAAAUGUAACCCUCUCAGACGACGCCCUAAGCCGAGGUUCUCGCCCAACUGGGCACCCUCAGGCCUGUUGUCUUAAAUUUUAUGCCGGGUGAGAGCUCUCAGCGCUCACCAUUUGUCCGGUCAAGUAGUUAAUGUCAUUUGCGGCAAAUCUACAGUAAAUCACGUUAAAAAGAAUGAUAUAUCAACUCUUACAAGUCCAUUUUCUAUCAGAAACAGUCUUAAGACGUCCCACUGCUGGGCACAGGCCUCCCCUCAAUCAACCGGAGGGGGUAUGGAGCAUACUCCACCGCGCUGCUUCAUAAUAAAAAAUAUUUUUAAGUAAUAUCUAUCACUGUGCUACAUUUUCCAUUUUCUUCACGCUAUUUGCUCUUCCAGGGUAGUCAAUAAUACCCUAGCUGUAUGAUUGAAGAUAUUUUUUUCUUUUCGGUGCUAUCUAUAACAUAUCUUAUGUAGAUUAUAAUAAAAAUAAAAUUUGCUAUAACGAACUGGGAAAAAAAAGAAUUUAUUUCUCAUGUAAAAUACUAAUUAUUUAUUUAAUUUUUAAUAACUCAUUUAAUUUUAAUGUAAAUUUUAAUUAUAUUAAGUUUGACAAUUUUUUUUGGUUCUGUAUAGCAAAUUUAAAAAAAAGAUGUGAUUGAUACCUCGAGUAGCUAUGAACCUUAUUUUGUAUGUAAUAAGGGUGUUAAUAGCGCGUACGGUUAUAUCAAUGUUUUCCAAAGGUAUAUACGCCUAUUAGAUAUUAUUCUUCACGCUUAAACACUUGCAGGCUGGACAGAACAAGUAAUAAAUUCACCUUUUAAGGUUUUUGGUGCUUGGCGCGUAUUGAAAUGUAAUAAUAUUCAACAUACAUAUAAAAAAGUCACGCCCGUUGUCACUAAAGGGGUGGGCAGAGCCGCAAUUCAACUUGCAGCCAACUUUAGAUCAAAUGUACAGUCUUCUUAGUAAAAACCAAGGUAUAAGAAAACUAGGUAUGCUGAAUCCUAUGACAAGCCGCCAUUGCUAGCCCAUUGAUGACGUAUGUGUUACCAUUCAAUUGGUAUCUCCAACAUUCCAAGGACGUAAAUUUUAUUAUUGAAAGUUAAGUGAAUUACUGACUAAUGUAUUUAAUUACUAUUAUUUGUCACAUUUAUAAAAAUCAUUAAAACUGUACUUAAAUCUUUUACUAAAAGUACAAUAUAAAAACAUUGGACGUGGGUAAUUUAUUUUUUUUACGAAAUGGCAACGCAGGGUGGGAUGACGUCAGCUGGGCUAACCUUGAAAUGCUAGCUGUCAGUUUUGAGCUUACCUGCAGGCUUAGCACCGUAAGCACGCGACUCUUUCUCGCCGCGACAGAGAUCGUCUGUCUCUUUCUGUGCAGUACUGUGAGAGAGUGACGGGUGACGUAUGUCGAGGCGAGAAUCGCGCGCUUACAGUGCUAGGUCCGCUGGUCUUAAACCAUGGUUUAAACAAGAAAUGUAUGAUAAAUAUUUAUAUAUGUUGCGUUAUAUCCAGUAGAUGCCAUGAUUCUAGUCCCACAGCAUAAUAUUAUAGAAACUGUAUGUAAUAAUAUUAAAUAAUUGAUUAAAAAAUAGUUAUUAAGUAUUAUGAUAUUAAUUAUGAGAGAAUUUGAGGUUAUGCGUCCGCCAUUUUGAAUUUCUAUGGCGGCGUCAUGUGAAUUUGAAAUUGGCGCGAAUUUUAGGCGGAGGUGUUCGCAGUAAAACGGUUUAUGCACCUUUACGGGAUAACAUAAGAUUUGUUUCUGGUCAUAUAUUUUUGGGAAUUAAGAAAAUAAUGGUAGUUACUACAGUGAGUCUUUGACUUUAUUUUUACAGGAAUAUUACAUCAGUUAUUUAAUAUGUAAUAUAUAUUUUUAAAAGGUGCAUAACAGGUUUCUGUGUAAUGUUGCCUUGAGCUGAAUUUUGCUUGGGAUGUCGCCGUGUAUGGUUUUCGAAUUGACAGCUUUUUGUAAUUUUAAGUUUUUUUUUUCUAUCGAUAGCUGUGCACGGUGCUCCAGCAGCCGUAACAUGGAGCCCGCAUAUCGUUCACGAAGCGAUAAAUGCGCUAGUUUAAAUAAACCAAUUCUAGUGGUUAGUUUAUCGCGUCGCGCGCCAUAUGCGGGCAUCAUACUACGGCUCAAAACACAUUCUAGUCUAACAGCUUUCGUUUAGGAAUAUCGACAAAAAAAAUUGAGACAAUUAUUUUUGUCAUAAAAAAGUAAUAUAAUAUAAUUAUGUAUAAAGUUGUUAUUAUAAAAACAGGCCCAUUUUCAAAAUGUAUAAUUUUUCGAUAUGAAUGUCGAGGGCUGACGGUUGCAGCGCUGUUUUUUUUUUAAACGCACGCUGUGUUGUUUUAUUUUGCCAUAUUUUUUUAUAUUUACCGAAAUAUGCACAAUGAUUAUAAAUAAAAGGUACUUGUCCUUA